AUUGAACGCUGGCGGCAUGCCUUACACAUGCAAGUCGAACGGUAACAGGUCUUCGGAUGCUGACGAGUGGCGAACGGGUGAGUAAUACAUCGGAACGUGCCUAGUAGUGGGGGAUAACUACUCGAAAGAGUGGCUAAUACCGCAUGAGAUCUACGGAUGAAAGCAGGGGAUCGCAAGACCUUGUGCUACUAGAGCGGCCGAUGGCAGAUUAGGUAGUUGGUGGGAUAAAAGCUUACCAAGCCGACGAUCUGUAGCUGGUCUGAGAGGACGAUCAGCCACACUGGGACUGAGAAACGGCCCAGACUCCUACGGGAGGCGGCAGUGGGGAAUUUUGGACAAUGGGCGCAAGCCUGAUUCAGCAAUGCCGCGUGCAGGAUGAAGGCCUUCGGGUUGUAAACUGCUUUUGUACGGAACGAAAAGCCCCGGGUUAAUACCCUGGGGUCAUGACGGUACCGUAAGAAUAAGCACCGGCUAACUACGUGCCAGCCGCCGCCGUAA
rnacentral:rRNA from 1 species